UGCAGUCGAGCGAGAACCCCGCAAGGGGGGACAGCGGCGAAAGGGACAGUAAUGUGUAGAUCAUCUGCCCUCAGGCCCAGGAUAGCUGUGGGAAACUGCAGGUAAUACCGGAUAAUAUCUCCGGAUCAAAGGUGUGAUUCCGCCUGGGGAUGAGUCUACAUCCUAUUAGCUAGUUGGUAGGGUAACGGCCUACCAAGGCGAUGAUGGGUAGCGGGUGUGAGAGCACGACCCGCGUCAUUGGGACUGAGACACUGCCCAGACACCUACGGGUGGCUGCAGUCGAGAAUCUUCGGCAAUGGGCGAAAGCCUGACCGAGCGACGCCGCGUGCGGGAUGAAGGCCUUCGGGUUGUAAACCGCUGUCAGAGGGGAUGAAAUGCGUGGGGGUUCUCCCCCACGUUUGACAUAGCCUCAGAGGAAGGACGGGCUAAGUUCGUGCCAGCAGCCGCGGUAAGACGAACCGUCCAAACGUUAUUCGGAAUUACUGGGCUUAAAGGGUGCGUAGGCGGCGCGGAAAGUUGGGUGUGAAAUACCUCGGCUCAACCGAGGAACUGCGCCCAAAACUUCCGUGCUCGAGGGAGAUAGAGGUGAGCGGAACUUAGGGUGGAGCGGUGAAAUGCG
rnacentral:rRNA from 1 species